rnacentral:rRNA from 2 species
AAAACGACUCUCGGCAACGGAUAUCUCGGCUCUCACAUCGAUGAAGAACGUAGCGAAAUGCGAUACUUGGUGUGAAUUGCAGAAUCCCGUGAACCAUCGAGUCUUUGAACGCAAGUUGCGCCCCAAGCCGUUAGGCCGAGGGCACGCCUGCCUGGGUGUCACGC